rnacentral:rRNA from 1 species
UACGUAGGGUGCAAGCGUUAAUCGGAAUUACUGGGCGUAAAGCGGGCGCAGGCGGUUUUGUAAGUCUGUCGUGAAAUCCCCGGGCUUAACCUGGGAAUGGCGAUGGAGACUGCAAGGCUAGAGUUUGGCAGAGGGGGGUAGAAUUCCACGUGUAGCAGUGAAAUGCGUAGAGAUGUGGAGGAACACCGAUGGCGAAGGCAGCCCCCUGGGUCAAAACUGACGCUCAUGCACGAAAGCGUGGGGAGCAAACAGG